rfam:Ceratocystis platani strain CFO contig_00222, whole genome shotgun sequence.
GGACCGAUGGUGUAGUUGGUUAUCACGUUUGUCUAACACUUCAUUUGCGAAUGGAUGGACACAAAAGGUCGGCGGUUCAAGUCCGCCUCGGUUCA